GACGAACGCUGGCGGCGCGCUUAACACAUGCAAGUCGAACGGAAAGGCCUGCUUUCCCUUGUGGAUUGCGGGUACUCGAGUGGCGAACGGGUGAGUAACACGUGAGUGAUCUGCCCCCAACUUGGGUAUAAGCCUGGGAAACUGGGUCUAAUUCCCGAUAGGACUGCAGGGUGGUGCCUGUGGUGGAAAACGAUUUUCUAGUGGUUGGGGAUGAGCUCGCGGCCUAUCAGCUUGUUGGUGGGGUAAUGGCCUACCAAGGCGGCGACGGGUAGCCGGCCUGGGAGGGUGGACGGCCACAUUGGGACUGAGAUACGGGCCAGACUCCUACGGGAGGCAGCAGUGGGGAAUAUUGCACAAUGGGCGGAAGCCUGAUGCAGCGACGCCGCGUGAGGGAUGACGGCCUUCGGGUUGUAGACUCCUUUCGACCGCGAGGAAGCCACCUGGUUGGAAGGGUGGUGACGGUAGUGGUAGAAGAAGCACCGGCUAACUACGUG
rnacentral:rRNA from 1 species